rnacentral:rRNA from 1 species
UGGGGGAUAUUGCACAAUGGGCGAAAGCCUGAUGCAGCGACGCCGCGUGAGGGAAGACGGUCUUCGGAUUGUAAACCUCUGUCUUUGGGGAAGAAAAUGACGGUACCCAAAGAGGAAGCUCCGGCUAACUACGUGCC